rnacentral:rRNA from 1 species
AUUGAACGCUGGCGGCAGGCCUAACACAUGCAAGUCGAGCGAGCGGCGGACGGGUGAGUAAUGUCUGGGAAACUGCCCGAUGGAGGGGGAUAACUACUGGAAACGGUAGCUAAUACCGCAUACCAUCAGAUGUGCCCAGAUGGGGUUAGCUAGUGGGUGGGGUAAUGGCUCACCUAGGCGACGAUCCCUAGCUGGUCUUAGAGGAUGACCAGCCACACUGGAACUGAGACACGGUCCAGACGCCGACGGGAGGCAGCAGUGGGGAAUAUUGCACAAUGGGCGCAAGCCUGAUGCAGCCAUGCCGCGUGUGUGAAGAAGGCCUUCGGGUUGUAAAGCACUUUCAGCGAGGAGGCGUUACUCGCAGAAGAAGCACCGGCUAACUCCGUGCCAGCAGCCGCGGUAAUUC